AUUGAACGCUGGCGGCAGGCCUAACACAUGCAAGUCGAACGAGUGGCGGACGGGUGAGUAAUGUCUGGGAAACUGCCUGAUGGAGGGGGAUAACUCCUGGAAACGGUAGCUAAUACCGCAUACCAUCAGAUCUGCCCAGAUGGGAUUAGCUUGUUGUGGGGGUAACGUCUCACCAAGGCGACGAUCCCUAGCUGGGCUGUGAGGAUGACCAUACACACUGUAACUGAGACACGGUCCAGACUCCUACGGGAGGCAGCAGUGGGGAAGAUUGCACAAUUGGCGCAAGCCUGAUGCAGCCAUGCCGCGUGUAUGAAGAAGGCCUUCGGGUUGUAAAGUACUUUCAGCGGGGAGGCGUUACCCGCAGAAGAAGCACCGGCUAACUCCGUGCCAGCCGCCGCGGUAAUUC
rnacentral:rRNA from 1 species